AUAAGGGGGAAAUCAGCGCAUUUGAGAUGUGGUGCUGGAGAAGAGUGUUGAUGAUACCAUGGAUGUCCAAAAAGACAAACAAAUGAGUUCUUUAAUAGAUGGAGGAGAUUAUCACAUUGCCUGUUUCCAUCCUUUUGGUGGAGUGGUGAAGGGUAACUUGUGGGACUUGUUAGCUUAUGCGUUUGAAGGGGUAGAAUAAAAGAAAGAAAGGAUUAUCUCCUGACUCCUAUCCCUUGAGGGAACUGAACCCUUAACUCAAAGGUGGCUUAACCCUGGUAUUUAGAAAGCCAUUAUUUUGAAAGCAUUGCUCUAACUGAGGUUAACGUUUGCAUGUACAUUGCAUUGUCUUGAACAUGAAAGAUUAAUGUAGGUUAAAGUUGGAGCUUCUUAAUGAUAGAAUCUGUGUUCCUGGCUUUUAAAAUAAGUCCUCGUCAGUGAUGGUGUUAAGGUACCAAAACAGGAGAAACAAACAAACUACGUCCAUGAUCCAAGAUGGCCUUUAUUUGCAUGCAAAAGAACACAGGGGAAUCAUUCACCAAGCUGUGCCCCUGACCAAAACAGGGAGCAAAGCUUUUAUAGCAUUUUGACAUUCCAACAAACAGAGGAUAAUUUCGAUUCUAUAACCAGACUUUCCUGGGGAGUCAAGGACCUUGGGCAUCACUGACUCCCUUUUGCAUCCCAUCCUCUCCUGUGAAGGCCUCCUUCCAAACUAUGCAUUGAUAUCAAAGCUUGCUUAUCAUUAUUCUUAUUAUGUGCUGAGGCAGAGAGAAGGAAAAUGGGGAGAGGAGAGAAAGGAGGAGAGGGGGAGUGAACUCAGCCAAAGGAAGAGCUGUGAGAGAGAGGGGGAGGUUUAUCAAACCCUCACAAUGGUAAACUCAUUCUUCCUCUUGUUUAAUUUACAGAGAAAAUUGAGGGUGUAAAAAGCACAGAAGCAAGUGUAUCAGCCAGCCAGGUUCAGCCACAAGGUGCUGGUAUACAACUGGUGUCCACAGGUCAGCUCAAUUACACAAUGUACUUUACUGUGGAAUGUAACAUCUAUAUAUUAAUAUUUACGGCCCAUAGUGCUUUUGGGAAUGCUGGGUUUUUUAAAUUUGAAAAACCUGUCUUGUAAAUUAAUUCUAAUGCAGUUUUGAAAAAGAAAAAAAAAAGCAACUUUCAUGCUUGUAUGGCACACCACCCAAAAAAAAGAAAAAAAAAGGCUCAUAAAGUGGCACUUGUACAGAAUAAAAUUGAGCAUGCCUUUUUAAAAA